rnacentral:rRNA from 1 species
UGAUUCGUCACACUAUCAUUAACUGAAUCCAUAGGUUAAUGAGGCGAACCGGGGGAACUGAAACAUCUAAGUACCCCGAGGAAAAGAAAUCAACCGAGAUUCCCCCAGUAGCGGCGAGCGAACGGGGAGGAGCCCAGAGCCUGAAUCAGUGUGUGUGUUAGUGGAAGCGUCUGGAAAGGCGCGCGAUACAGGGUGACAGCCCCGUACACAAAAAUGCACAUGCUGUGAGCUCGAUGAGUAGGGCGGGACACGUGGUAUCCUGUCUGAAUAUGGGGGGACCAUCCUCCAAGGCUAAAUACUCCUGACUGACCGAUAGUGAACCAGUACCGUGAGGGAAAGGCGAAAAGAACCCCGGCGAGGGGAGUGAAAAAGAACCUGAAACCGUGUACGUACAAGCAGUGGGAGCACAGAGCAAUCUGUGUGACUGCGUACCUUUUGUAUAAUGGGUCAGCGACUUAUAUUCUGUAGCAAGGUUAACCGAAUAGGGGAGCCGAAGGGAAACCGAGUCUUAACUGGGCGUUAAGUUGCAGGGUAUAGACCCGAAACCCGGUGAUCUAGCCAUGGGCAGGUUGAAGGUUGGGUAACACUAACUGGAGGACCGAACCGACUAAUGUUGAAAAAUUAGCGGAUGACUUGUGGCUGGGGGUGAAAGGCCAAUCAAACCGGGAGAUAGCUGGUUCUCCCCGAAAGCUAUUUAGGUAGCGCCUCGUGAAUUCAUCUCCGGGGGUAGAGCACUGUUUCGGCAAGGGGGUCAUCCCGACUUACCAACCCGAUGCAAACUGCGAAUACCGGAGAAUGUUAUCACGGGAGACACACGGCGGGUGCUAACGUCCGUCGUGAAGAGGGAAACAACCCAGACCGCCAGCUAAGGUCCCAAAGUCAUGGUUAAGUGGGAAACGAUGUGGGAAGGCCCAGACAGCCAGGAUGUUGGCUUAGAAGCAGCCAUCAUUUAAAGAAAGCGUAAUAGCUCACUGGUCGAGUCGGCCUGCGCGGAAGAUGUAACGGGGCUAAACCAUGCACCGAAGCUGCGGCAGCGACACUGUGUGUUGUUGGGUAGGGGAGCGUUCUGUAAGCCUGUGAAGGUGUGCUGUGAGGCAUGCUGGAGGUAUCAGAAGUGCGAAUGCUGACAUAAGUAACGAUAAAGCGGGUGAAAAGCCCGCUCGCCGGAAGACCAAGGGUUCCUGUCCAACGUUAAUCGGGGCAGGGUGAGUCGACCCCUAAGGCGAGGCCGAAAGGCGUAGUCGAUGGGAAACAGGUUAAUAUUCCUGUACUUGGUGUUACUGCGAAGGGGGGACGGAGAAGGCUAUGUUGGCCGGGCGACGGUUGUCCCGGUUUAAGCGUGUAGGCUGGUUUUCCAGGCAAAUCCGGAAAAUCAAGGCUGAGGCGUGAUGACGAGGCACUACGGUGCUGAAGCAACAAAUGCCCUGCUUCCAGGAAAAGCCUCUAAGCAUCAGGUAACAUCAAAUCGUACCCCAAACCGACACAGGUGGUCAGGUAGAGAAUACCAAGGCGCUUGAGAGAACUCGGGUGAAGGAACUAGGCAAAAUGGUGCCGUAACUUCGGGAGAAGGCACGCUGAUAUGUAGGUGAAGUCCCUCGCGGAUGGAGCUGAAAUCAGUCGAAGAUACCAGCUGGCUGCAACUGUUUAUUAAAAACACAGCACUGUGCAAACACGAAAGUGGACGUAUACGGUGUGACGCCUGCCCGGUGCCGGAAGGUUAAUUGAUGGGGUCAGCGCAAGCGAAGCUCUUGAUCGAAGCCCCGGUAAACGGCGGCCGUAACUAUAACGGUCCUAAGGUAGCGAAAUUCCUUGUCGGGUAAGUUCCGACCUGCACGAAUGGCGUAAUGAUGGCCAGGCUGUCUCCACCCGAGACUCAGUGAAAUUGAACUCGCUGUGAAGAUGCAGUGUACCCGCGGCAAGACGGAAAGACCCCGUGAACCUUUACUAUAGCUUGACACUGAACAUUGAGCCUUGAUGUGUAGGAUAGGUGGGAGGCUUUGAAGUGUGGACGCCAGUCUGCAUGGAGCCGACCUUGAAAUACCACCCUUUAAUGUUUGAUGUUCUAACGUGGACCCGUGAUCCGGGUUGCGGACAGUGUCUGGUGGGUAGUUUGACUGGGGCGGUCUCCUCCUAAAGAGUAACGGAGGAGCACGAAGGUUGGCUAAUCCUGGUCGGACAUCAGGAGGUUAGUGCAAUGGCAUAAGCCAGCUUGACUGCGAGCGUGACGGCGCGAGCAGGUGCGAAAGCAGGUCAUAGUGAUCCGGUGGUUCUGAAUGGAAGGGCCAUCGCUCAACGGAUAAAAGGUACUCCGGGGAUAACAGGCUGAUACCGCCCAAGAGUUCAUAUCGACGGCGGUGUUUGGCACCUCGAUGUCGGCUCAUCACAUCCUGGGGCUGAAGUAGGUCCCAAGGGUAUGGCUGUUCGCCAUUUAAAGUGGUACGCGAGCUGGGUUUAGAACGUCGUGAGACAGUUCGGUCCCUAUCUGCCGUGGGCGCUGGAGAACUGAGGGGGGCUGCUCCUAGUACGAGAGGACCGGAGUGGACGCAUCACUGGUGUUCGGGUUGUCAUGCCAAUGGCACUGCCCGGUAGCUAAAUGCGGAAGAGAUAAGUGCUGAAAGCAUCUAAGCACGAAACUUGCCCCGAGAUGAGUUCUCCCUGACCCUUUAAGGGUCCUGAAGGAACGUUGAAGACGACGACGUUGAUAGGCCGGGUGUGUAAGCGCAGCGAUGCGUUGAGCUAACCGGUACUAAUGAACCGUGAGGCUUAACCUU